CGAAGCGGUCUAUUCUAAGUGGUCCAUUGGGUAAGCAGCAGAGGUAAUAGGUCGUCUCCAUUUCCGUAGCGGCUACGGUUUCCCUGUCUUUUCUAAACUAACAGAAUCUUGGGCUCUUCCUUGGGAAUUUCGUCUUGGAUUCGAUGUGCACUCGGCUCGUUCAAUUCUGAGGACACCGGGAAUGGAGUCAAUCUUCGUUAGCGGAAGCAACUACUUUGAAGAAAGAAGAAAGGCUUCCUUCUCUCUAGCUUUCGAUGGGCGGGAUGGGACUGUAAAAUGAGGUUGUUGGUUGAUCUUCUGGUCAAUGGGAGUGCUGUCUUCUUGGUUGAAUCAGAAUCCUAUAAGAAUAUGCAUCCAGGAAUCUCGAUGUUCUAUAUCCUACUACUUCUUUCACCAGGAAAUCCACGAGAGGAGAUAGGUGCUUUCUUCUUUCCGCUUUAGCGAAUCUCUGCUCGCCCUGAAAGCUAUAGUAUACUUUUUAGCAUGAAAGGCCUUUCCUAUCAUUAGCGCAGUUCAAGGACAAUAUGGUCUUUCUAUAGCUUUCACGUGGCAAUCGACCUUGAGCAACGGAUUCUGUACCAGCAAUCCUUUUUCGUUUAUUGGGGGACUGAAAAGGUUUUGUCAAGCAGGCAUGAUUGUCACGUCGAUCGACAGUUGAGAAAUCCUAUCUCCGGGGCCCUCACUUUAGGGCUAUCUUUCACCGUAAGGCUUCACUACUCGUUCGCUUGAGGGGUUCAGUUGUUAGUGGACUAGCGCUUCUCCUUGUCCCCUUUCUGCAUUCGCGCAUGACCUAAACUAUACCUCUUCUAAGGCAGAAAGAAGGUCAACCUCAGGUAAUCACACCUUUCUUUCUCGACGAUCAAAGAGUAAAAACUAGCUUUCGAGCUAACCAACCAUGGAGCUACCAGCCAACAAGCAAAACGAGUUCUCAUUCACGGAUAACUAAGCUUUGACAAGGGAGAGGGGGACCCUUCUCAUACCCGCCCUUACAGGAGCCUAACGGAGAAAAGGCUAUGCCCAGCAGUUAUUCUGGAAUAGGGGAAGACUGCGGUAAAAGGAUGUCCGUCUGUUGAUGGCUAGCUCGUACAAGCAAAUCGGAUUUGGACCUAGGUUUGUUGAUGGAUCUGGUCUUGUCGAACAGGUCCGGAUUCGAGGUUCGAAGACAAAAGCCCACUAGCCGAGCUGAACUGGUUAGUGAUGGAAGCAAUUCCCACGAACUGAGAACAAAAGGAUGUACUUGCCCCCUUCCCCAGCCAUUACCGCUCAUCCACCGCUUUAAAUUAGAUUAUGAAAUCCUGUCUUUAUCUUUCCAGGCUGUCUUUUGCGUGCUAUUCCUUACGCCCUGAGAAAGAACCUCCACUUUUGUCCAUACUAGCUCUCCUCUAUGUCCCGGUCAAGCGUAGUCUAAUAGAACUUGACUAAAAUUAGAGGAAAUAAGUAUGAUCUAGAAGAGGGUUCCACAGGCGAUGAGGAGUAAUUGAUGGGGCCAUUGCUUCUAUGUGUAUUCCCCAUAAAAGGAGUCCCCUUAGGCGACGGCAAGAAUAUAUUAAUAUCCCUCAUCAAAAGGGCAAGCGCAAAGCAUAAGACUGCCCGCUCCACCACGUGCAUAAACUAAUUAUCUCAUGAUAGGCCAAAGCGUGACCUUUUUUCUGGCCAAACUCUGUGACAGGGAUAUAAAAAAAAAGGGUGUAAUCCCGAUUUAUCUAAAGCGCUACGUCUUUUCCCGGCCAUCAUGCAUCGCUCCAACCUCCUAUUGCCACAGCCUUCAAUCAAAUAAAAGCAAAAAAUAUCAAUAGGGACCUUACUGCCGUUCCCAGCUUAAGCGUCUACACCUCCCAACAAAGUGAAUGUACCUUAUGGAACCUCCGAUAGGGACUUGGAUGAGGCCCGCCGACCUUCUCCACCUGCUCUGUAGAUGGAACCUUCGUAGAGCUACCACUUUCGAUAAUCAUUUUGGUCUUUUUGCCCCGGCCAAGGGCACACCACAUUCGAAAGAGAUCCCUCAGACUCCAGUCCUACCCCGUCUUCUUAGGAUUAAGGUUGCAGCACAGUUUAAUGUAGAAGUGGCUAUGAUUGCAAAGAGCAGACGAUAUUUAUUAUAAUAAGAUCAGAGUUGAGAGCACUGCUAGAAAGAUAAAGAUGGCGAUAAGAGAUUCGUUCUGUCUUUCUUCACUUCUGAUCUUUAUCUAUGAUAUUAACUUUAACUUGAAGACGAGUCUUAUUCAUAACUAUAAAGCAGAUCGAAAGAAGCAUAGGUAGACUUCACACUAACCCAAUCCAGAUAAACAACUUUUAUCGGAACCCAGCUUCUCUUUUUUAGCGAAUAAAGAUUGAAGUCGCUCUUAGACUAUAUUUUAAAUCUUUAUAAUUUAUCAUAUGAAAGAAGGAGAAAGGGGGCUGCUACUGCAACCAAGCAAUUGGUGCAGACGCUCUACGAUGCAAUCAGACAAUGAGAGAGCGGACUCUCUUUCUCUAAGGGACACUUCCUCAUUUUAUUCCACCCCCUUUCGUCGGUUCCAGUAAUAAUGAAUGGGAGGGGGAGUACCAUGUAGUUAGGAAGAUGAUCGAUGCCUAAAGCAUGUCUACUUAAGAUCUCUAUCCUUUCUGGUGAUAAAGAUAUCCCAAGAAGAGAGACCUGACGGCGCGCCUUUACUAGAAGAGAAGGAAAGAAGACACUUACUAGAAAUCUAUUCCACCGGAAGACUACCGCUGGAUUUAUCUCUGUCCACAUCCAUGACUCACCCACCUUUCCAUCCCCCCUCAAAGAUCCACCCGAUCGAUGAAGACUUGAACCGAACUCGCAGUGAUCAAAUCUACUUUGGAGAGUAAAUCCUCAGGGCAAGCCAAAGGAAGGACGGGAGAAGCAGGGCUCUAAGACAGGCUGAAGGCAGAGAAGGAUAGACGAGACAAGGAAGCAAAGGAGAAAAGAAAGAUCGGAAUAGAAGAGAGGUAACGGUUGAACGAACGGUAGACCCAACUCUGUAUACUUAGCCGGAAGCAGGGCAUUCCACCGAUUCCACUUAGGGAUAUAGCCUUUCCCGUAUCUAUUUUUACCUUAUCUGCAAAUUUAUAUCCGGUAGACUUGGUAAGGUCAAAGGGCCCCGACUUAUUUGAUUUCCAGAAUUAGAGUUCGACCGCUGCUGCCCCUUUUUUGUUUUGGGGGGAUCAAGUUCCUUGCCAACUAUCGACCCCGAUCUCUUUUCAUUUCUUUAUUUUGGGUAUUACUAGCCUAGCCUUCGUCAAUCACACUAAAGAGCAGAGCACCCAACUAUGGCAAGGCCCCCUUAAGGCUUAGGUUAGUCAAUCCGGCCCGAGACCAGAUCGACUAAAGGCGUUGACAAAACCGCCGUAGGGUAGGAAUGGAGACCUUUCAAUAGAGCGGAGGCGAACUGAUCAACGAGAAAGAGGCCCUACUCACUACAAACGAAUACACCACAAGAUCGAACUGCACUCAUGCCUCUCCCGCAUUUGCCCUAGACAGAUCAUUGCCCACCUACGUAGUUCUUCUAUCAAUCAUGUACGUAGGUAGGGUCCUCCAUUCUGAUUGGUAUAUCAUGAAAAAAGAAAGCAAGCCAUUUGCACCAGGCGCACUGCGCUUUCCCUUGCCUAGAUGUUCGCCUUUCUAAGUCAAGUAAUGGUGACCCGCCGAAGACUGGAGCCUCAUAACAUGUUGACGAAGACCCCCGAACUGAGGGUUCGAUCAGUAGAGGGGACGACUUUACCUCCCCGGAUUCGGAAUCGGAAUCGGAAGAAGAAUAGCCCCGCUCUCUAGCCGCCCUUCCUUAACAAGUCCCGUUGAUCAUAUAACUGGGAGGGAACGUGUCACAUUAGAGGUGAACGAUCAGAGAUGUCCGAUAAUUACCACGAUUCGGAAUCGGAAGAGGCUGGUCCCUCUUUAAUUUUAGUAGACUAAGCUAUGAAUAUGAAUGAAGAAAUGAAUGAAUGCCGGGCUCUUUCUUUCACUGCUAACCCCAAUACAAAAAGUUUCUUAAUGCUGAUCUUUUCUCUUUCGUCGAGCCCCUGCGGUUGCUUGUGGUCCUCCUUUGAGUGUGGGUUCCAUUGGAUGAAUCUCUCAAGUCAAGGUUCACGUACAUAGCAGCAAGAAUAGAAUGGUGCAGCGCCUAUUUAUCGUUCUCGCUCGGGAGCCAAAACGAAGACGCCUGCUACCUACUGUACUGGACCUUCGACCAGGCAUUCUACCCUUGUCGAAUCGGAACCAACCACCCCCUAUGUGCCGAUCGCUUGCGCUCGAACAGUUGAGCGGCCGCCGGCCAGCAACUUCCGUACCGUACACAGAUAUAUAUUCAUUAUUCGUACCUGGUCCAACUUCACAACCCUUCGCGGGUUGGUCAGAAGUCAGUCUUGUUUGGUAAUACUCUAUUGGACAAAGCAAAGAAAAUAGAGUGCUCGACCGGAACAACGGCCAACAAAGACCGUAAUUACAUAGAUAACAGCUCCUCCCUUUCUCCGUCUUUAAUUAAGGCUUUCAGGCGAACCGUAUGGCGGACGGAAAGACGACCUCACCUUCUCGUAGAUGGUGCCUUCAUUGUCUAUCCAAAGGAGAGCAACUUGAGUAUCCCCCGUUGACCUUCUUUUGUAGAUAGAAUCUUCAAUGAGUGGAAAGAAGCAACCUUACUAAACUAAGAAAGGUGCGCUUCUUGAGUAAGGCCGUUUUCUUGCAGGAGUGCUAACGCGCGCCCUUAUUCUAUUCUUCGCUUGCUCCGCAGUACGAGCCUCAUACAGAGCUGCGCCCCUUUAAUAGGAUGAGGAGAAGAGGGGCCGCCCUCUUUUCUGCACCAAUCUUUAUAUACAACUAUAUUUAUAUCUUUUUUGGGGUGUAUAGCUCAGUUGGUAGAGCAUUGGGCUUUUAACCUAAUGGUCGCAGGUUCAAGUCCUGCUAUACCCAAACAAACCUACCUUACACAAUACCUAUUCAUAAAUAAGGAUGCGUAGUAACGUUCAAAGAUCACUCUUUGGCCUUUAGACUCGCUUCAGCGACUUCGCCCUUUAAGUGAGAAGGGGGUGAGGUAAGGAGUAGUAUAAGAGUGGCUCGGUCAUCAAUAGGCCUCUCCUUAUUUUAUUCAUUCUAUAGGGCGGGGCUGCAGACCAACAAUCCAGCAAAAGGGCGAAAAAGUAGACCUAACAUUUCUUUUCUUACCCUUUAGAGUAAUGAUAGUCGUUCUCUAGCAACUAUGCUAGAGGGGAUGCAAGAUGUACUUUAUACUGGGUAGUGGCACAAGCAAUACAAAGACAACGGGCUGGUGCAAGUCACAACAGCAAACAGCUACUGAUAAUGCUUGAAAAUUCCCAUAAAAUGCCGUUCUACAGCAGUAUGUCAGAAGGUAAGAGCCGUCCUGAGACCUCUCAUGGCUGUAGUCAUAGUAUAAUAAUCACAUCCUCUAUCCCACCAUGGUAGUUACUACAGAAGAGAACAAUCAAAGAUAACAUAUAACUCUUCUGCGAAAUCAAAAAGGUAGGAACUCGGUAAGGAAAAGGAACGCUAAGCCUAUGUAUUACACUAAAAUUCCUAGUAAAAAUGAUUUAUCUCAAAAGUAGCAGUAGUUUCUUUUUGUUGUUCAGUAGGGAACUGGAAUUCAAGAUAGGGGGCUUUAGCCGAAACUGGUCUGUAAACUGGUAGUUCUUGUUCGCAAGCAAGCGGGCGGGUUUUGAGUUGGAUGUUCGAGCAAGCGUAGCCCACAGCAUUCUACGAUCUUCGUUCUAUUCUACGGCUACUUGAAAUCGUUAGGUUAGUCUCGGGUAUCCUGUUAACGUUACUGCGCUUUAACGACACCGUAGUGGCGGUUUUAAAGAUAGGAUAGCGAGGCCGCUAAGGGC